GGCUAUAUCACGUUGAAAACACCGGUUCUCAUACGAUCACCAAAGUUAAGCAUAACCGAGCCUGGUCAGUACAUAGGUGGGUAACUUUGGAAAUACUAGGUGCUGUA